rnacentral:lncRNA from 10 species
CGCAACCCCAGGCCGCCGCGCCGCCUGCGUGCCUGCAGCCCGCCGGCCCCGCCCCCGCUGCCUGCUUCCGCCGCUUUAGUGCACGCUCGGGCUUCCUGGUGCGCCCGGAGCCUGCCUCGCGUGCCGACCCCGCCGCGUAAUCCGGCGAGGCAUCCCAGAUUCCGCCCGGCUCCAGACGCCCUCCACCGACUUUAGUUCGAGCAGAUGAAGACACAGGUUCAGAGAAUUAGGAAGCUUGCUCAAGAUCAUACAUGUUGAAGAACCAGCCUCCUCAGCUGCUUCUGAUUGUAAACUAGCUGUGAUCAGGGCACCACUCUGUUACAAAAGCAGUCUUAGAAAUUAACCAGCACAAAGAUCAUCCAUGACUAGUGAGUGCAGUUCUGAGACUGGUUUUCAUAUAUGCCUGUAGGAUCAGUCUCACUAUUUUGAGGUUGUACCCUGGGCAGGGAACAUGAGUCAUUGCCUACCCAUCCACUCCUCCACACUCUGACUGUCUCUGUUAUGAAUUAAGUCCUAAGAAUUCUUAUCUCAUUACUCCCCAUGGGGUUUCAGCAGCAGUCAUCUCUGACUUGUAUUUUCACCCUGCUAGUUAAUUGCUUUCUUAGACUUUUCUAUUCUGCUGUUCGAUGGUAGCUCAGCAAGUGACUUUUCAUCAUUAUAGAAUAGGAAAAAAUUGUUUGGGUUGUGGAUUGGUUUACAGAUGCUGCACUUUCCAAUUCCUACCACACCAUGACCCUGUAACCUGCUGGGAAGAUGUAGCCCUAAGUGCAAAAGAAGCUCCCCACAAAAUGUUAUUUUCCUAGGUCCUUUUCCCAACCACAUGGAGCAGAUAAAUGGAAGGAGAGGCAUGUUGGUGGUGGUGAUGAUGGUGGUACAAUUUUCCCUCAGUAUCCACAGGGAAUUGGUUCUAGGAAGCACCUCCCCAACACCAAAAUCUGCGAUGCUCAAGUCCCUUAUGUAAAAUAAUAUAGUGUUUGCAUAUAAUCGACCCAUAUACUCCCAUAUACUUUAAAUCAUCUCUAGUUUACUUAUAAUGCCUAAUACAAUGUAAGUGCUAUGUAAGUAGUUGUUAUACUGUAUUUUUUUACUUGUAUUGUUGCAUUGUUAUUUUUUAUUUUUCAAAUAUUUUCCAUCAGUGGUUGGUUGAAACCAUGGAUGUGGCACUUGUGGAUAUGGAAGACCGCCUAUAAUAGUAACAAUUAUGGUAGUAGUAAUGCUGGUGAUGGUGUUGGUAACAGUGGUGGUGAGUAACGGUGUUGGAGAAAUUUUUUCCACUCACGUGGAACCUCGCACCAGUCUACUCUCUGAUAAUUUGGAUGUAUCUCAUAAAUGGUAUCUCAGUUUUCUUCAAGUUGUAUAUAGGUCUUCAUAUUUUUUUUUCUUUUAAAGUUUAAAACAUCUACCAUUCGGUCU